UAUUAAACCUCUGUGUCAGGGUUUAUUACAGAAAGUUUUGAUCACAGUAAUACUGGUUCCUGAGGAGCAUUUGUCCAUUAUAAUCCUGGAUCACAUUUUUAAGGAAAAAAAUGAACCAUCGCUUUUUUUUCUCUUUGUUUAAUUCCUAUAGAAGCCUUUCUCCCUCCUCUUGCCUUUCCCCCUAUCAGUUGGGGAGGGAAGAAGUCUGUUUCUAGUACAGUGGUUACUCCUGGACUCCAGUGACAAAUUAGACCUACUAAUCCUUAUUGAGAACCUUCCAUGGCCAGUGGGAAGAGCAGGGGGAGCAGAGAAGGUUAGUGAGAGCCAGUCCUGUUCUUACAGAGCAUACAGCCCACUGGGUCAGACCAGGGAACAGCUCUCCCAGAGAAAAGGUGGAGUGUGAUCAGGGUGCUGCAGGGGCAGGUGGGACAGGACAAAUUCUAACAUGAGGCAGCAAGCAGGCUUCCCAGAGGAGGCCUCUGAGCUGGGGCUGGGAGGAAAAGGUGAAACAUGCAUUUCAGUCUGGGGAAAGGUUGUGGGCAAAGCACCAGUCUGGGAGAGUUGGUAGUGUGCUUGUCAAUGUUGUGCUGCAUAGGAGAUUAGAGUCAUGCCCAUGGAUGGUCACAAUCAGAUGGAAACGUUUCUCAAUCUAACCUGCCAAUCAGCAUAUUCUCGGGAGCUUGCAACAAGCACAGUUUCUCAGGUCUCUCACCUAUUGAUUCAGACUCUGUGCUUAACAUAGUUCCAAAAGAUGGAUUUGGAAAGAUAGUGAGGGCCAGUUCAAGAAGAGCUUUGAAUGUCAUUCUGAGUUUUGAGUUUAUUUGACUUUAUUUCCCAGGGCAAUAUUUUUAACUAGCUGUUUUUUGGGGUUUUUUUUUUUGGUGCUAGAAGAAUCACACUGCAUAUGAUAUUCAGGUGGUCCUAGGUCAGUGGUUCCUGGGGGGAGGUGUGGGAUAGAUAGGUAUCCGUGAAGACUUUAAUGGGGCCCUUCAAGCUAUUUGGGGUUUUUGAAAAAUCUAAAGCAAGUUAUGCAUUACCCUUUAGAAGUUUGUCACUAGUUUGGCUAGUCCUUUCCUUAGUGUGUCUUAACAUGGAUUAACAUGGACCAGGUAGGGCAGCCCAGUGCAAGCGGUUACAGGCAUGGACUCUGGAGACAGAUCUGAGGUUUAGACUUAUCCCACUGCCAGUGCCAAGAUCUCCAGCAGGCUUAUUCACCUGUGUGUUCCUGUGUCCCAUGUCAAGUAGGGAUAGCAGCAGUGCCGGCUCAUAGGACUGGGAUGACCGUUCUGUGAGAGGAGUUGUACACAGUGCCUGACGGAGAGAAGAUGUUCAGGAAAUGUUGUUCCUAUUAAGCUGUCUCAUGGAAAAAUAAUUAUAAGUGACUACGUAAUUUUGUUUGGUAGCAAAACUCAGGGGAAAUCAUAAUAAUGGCAAAGGGUCCGCGAAGGUGAAAAGUGUGGCGAGCUCCUCAAAGGGCCUGUUUGUUUGGACACAGCAUCCAGAGCGGGGAGCAGGCGCAUGCCUUUUCUUCGCUCCCCCCGUCUAGGGCAGAGGCUCCUCUGAGGACCCUCACACUUAAGCUCUGCCUCUGGAGGGUGAUUUAUCCUGGAAUUGGUUAUAACAGAAAAUAAUAGAAAAUUACUUGCCAGGGGAAGAAUCAAACGAGUGUAUAUUUACUUUGGGCGCUUUUCCCAUUGCAUUGGGUUAGUCUGCCAAGAAGUUAAAAAUAGUAGUGAUAAGCAGUCUGUGAAUCGGUCCCUCUUGGGGUGGCAGGGGUCAACUGAAAGCAGGAUCGUUCCUCUGGGCUCCUGAGCAGGCCACUUUGUCCCCUUCCACUCCGUCGAGAGCCUUUCUCGCAGCUUCUGCUGGCUGCUGUCCUGUGAUCUGAAUCCUCUGCCCAGUUCCCCUGCCUGUCCUAUCAAUUCCUCAGACUUGUUCUAGGCAGCCUGUGUUAAACCAACCAGCUUUGGAUGGCCUCAUGUUUUAAAGACACUAUUUAUAACCAGUAAUUUAUGUUUUCAUGAUACUGCAUGUAGCAGCUGGUCGCCGUGUCACUGUAGUAAGGGUAGAAUGAAAUACAUGGUAUUUAUGCGGGUGGCUGUAGCAUUUGUCAUUUUGUCUAUGGAUUGCUGUUGCAGGAAGCGUGUAAAAUUGCAAAGGGUAUUUUUCCCCUUAAAGAUAAGCCCUAGCGUAUUAAAUAUUCAUCAACUGUGUUAGAACACUAUACCAUCUUUUUGUUUCCUUCAUCCUUAUUUUUUCAUGGAAAUAUAUUCAGAUGUCUAUACUCUGAAUUGUUCUCAUAAAAUGCUCCUCAUUGCAACUGGUCCCCUGAGCAAAACUGAAAAUCUUUUAUCAACAGCUGUUCCCAAAUAUGUUUGUGAGCAUGCCCUUCAGCCUGUAGGGUCGCAGCUAAAUAACGCCACUGGCACCCUGGAGGCCUUGGCUCCCAACUUCCUUGAAGCCCUGCAAGCUCAUGACUUUGAGCUGUGGGUUACGUGUUGAGAAUUGGUGGCCCGAAGAACCUUUUGCCCUUUUUAAAUAGUUGCUCCUGCCUCAUUUCCUGGGGCAGUGUUGGGUGUCUUGACAUUGUAUUUUGUAUUUCAUCAUUUUGAAGUUGCAGGCUGGGAGGACAGGUGACCGGGGGCCUCUCUUCUGAAGAUGUAAUAAAGCCAAGGCUGCUGGCCAGGACCCCCUGGAGGAACUGCAGGGGGAGUGGAGGAGCUGGUGUAAGUUGGGGGAGGUGAGGAGCAGGGCAGGAGGAGGGGAUCACCGCCAUCCCUCCACCGAGCAGUAUCUGUCCAGCGGCCCUCAGAGCUCUGAGGAAAUCAACAAGAGGGAAGAGUGUGUGGUGACCGGUGAGGGUGGAUCCCACGCAUCUGAGCAAUGUCUUCUCCUCCAAAGAGUUCACCUCAGGAUGAUCCAGAACAGUGGUUCUCAAAGUGGGCCUGGCUCACAGUGGCCCCGGGUUGCUUAUCUGAAAUGCAAAGGAAGGCUUCCAGGUGUCUGGGAGUGCGCCUCCAGGUGAUUCUGAUGGGUGCUCUGGGUUCAGAGGCACAUCCUGUCCCCUUCUGAUUGGGCUCUCCUAACCCUUGCAAAAUGACAAGGGCUGGGCAGGACACAGAUGAAGUACAAACCCGCUUUCUGCCCAGAAAGAGUGUAUGGGGUGGACUGGUGUACUUCUGAUGGCAAGGGACAUGGGAGCCAGUAGGUGGCCAAGUCCUGGUGCCUGGAAAGAGGACAGACAGGCUCCUGUGUCAGACAAAAGAGGUUUAGUCCUGCCUUUGCUAGUCACUGGUUGACUGACCUGAACAAACGGUACAACCUGAGUCUUGUUGUGAGGAAUGAAAAGUGGUGCUACCUAGUGGGGACCCAACAAACCUCGGUUUUCAAAAAUGGAGGAUGAGGAUAUGAAACUCUAAAGAGAUGUUCCUGGCACUACCCAGCCCCAAUAAUACUUCCUUUGGCUCUCACUGAACUUAGAAGCACACGGUCUAAGUAAGCAUUAACAACCGCAUCUCUUACCUACUAACGCUGACGUGCAUACAUUGCUAGAACCAUGGCUGUCAUCUCCGGAGAACUUUCAGGAGACAGGCAGUGUCCUGAGGACUGUGCAUGUGUUCUCUUUCCGUGUUUGCAGAAUGAUGCUAUGAGAGAAAGGUGGUGGGCAAAUUAAUGAGCCCCUAACAAUGUCCACCUUCUAACUAACUCCUGGAACCUGUGAACAUGUUACUCCAUAGAUGUGAUAAGCUAAGGGCCUUGAGAUGGGAGAUGCUUCCAGAUGAUCUGGGUGGGCCCAGUGUAACAACACCCUUCUAAGAGGCAGGUGGAAGGGUCUGCGUUGGAGGAGGAGAUGUGGUGUUGGAAGCAGAGGGGAGAGUGACAGGAGUCUAAAGGUGGAAGAAGGGGCCGCCAGCCACAGACCAAGAGUGGACUAGAGAAGCUGGAAAAGGGGAGAGAAUGCAUUCUCCCCACACCCUCCAGAAGCAAUGCAUCCUGCCAGCGCCUUGAUUGGAAGACUUCUGCCCUCCAGAACUGUAAGUCCUGUAAUACGUGUGUGUCGAUCUAAGCUGUGGUAAUUUUUCUCAACAGCCACGGCAAAGUGCAGUCAUACAGGGAAGCUGACAUUUGACAGAGGGAACUGGGGAUGAGAAAGACAAAGCCACCCUGCCUGCGUCACACAGCUAGGAAGUGGUGGUGGGGAAUCCUGCCCCACUCUGGCUCCAGAGCUGGCACUUGAACUGUUACGGCACACACAUCGUUUCCGGGAGCAGGUGCCUUCAUGGUAGGGCUGCCUUCUGUGCCUUUUUGAUUUUACUUGCAUAGUAGAGUCGGCAAAAAAGGUUCACGUGAGACUCGACUUUGUGAUGAAAUCAGAUGAGUUUUUCCUCUAGAGUGCUCUGUAUCAUUAAUUCGAGCUGUUCUCUUUUCUAAGGCAGCCUGGAAGGAGGGCAGUUUCUGGGGGUGGUGUUGAGGGAAAACAGGAAGGGGCUUUAGCUUCAGUAUGGAUCAUUCAGCUGCUUGAACAGGAGCCAAAGGUACAUUUUCAUGAAAAUGGAAAAAAUAAAAUACAACAACUAGGUAACAGUGAGGCUGAGAGAGCGCCAGAGUGGUCUGUUUCCCAGCUGAAGCAGGUUGUUAAGUUGCUACGUGGAGGUGAGGAAGAGGGUUGGGAGGGCGCUGCUCUUCUGCUCAGGUAGCUAGUUUGUACUCCGGGAUCAGAGAGACAGGAGCCUGGAGAAGAGGCGGCAGAUCUGGCUGCCAAGGGAGAAGCUACAGUAGGGAGGAUGCCAAGCACAGAGGUAUCGUCAGGACCCUGAAGAGCUGAGCUCUAGACUGAGUCUUUUUUAGCCUCAAAGUCAAUCCAGGGCCUGAAAGAAUCCUAAACUUUCUCCGAAGCUGUUUACGGGGAUGUGAAAGGAAAAGAUUCAGAAUCAAGGGUGAUGAUGGUUAAGGCAAAAGGAGGCCCCAUACAGAGACCACCUGCGGGGCCAGUGCUGUGCUGGUGGCUCCUGGGGCCAGGUGGAGGAGGCAGGCCAGCCCCACCUUCAAAGGUCUGCAUCUGCCCUGGUAGGGAAUACAGCAUUUUCACAGAUUCCUCUAAGGAAGAGCCAGCAGGAUAGGGCCAUGAGGAGGCAGAGAGAGCAAUGGGGUGUUGAGAGGAAAAAGAAAUCACACCGACUAACAAGGGAAGGAAAGAAAUGAAUAAGGGUGGAGGGCCGCUGUGAGGCAGGCUCCAUGCCAGACAUAUUCACAUACAUUCAUUCUCUAGUUUAGACAGUCAGAGACACUGAGGCAAAUGGUACGCAACUUCCUCGAGCGAAGCUCAGAGAGGUUCAGUAGUCUGCCCACCACAGCAAGCACUCAUCAGAACCAGGCCUGAAACUGGGGUUGGGGUGUGAAGCCUGGGUGUACUUUCCAUCACACUGCAUCAGCUCCUCCGGUGGGGAGGGGGGCAAGGUGGAGGGCCACAGAAAACUUCCUGUGUCAUUUCAGGAUGUGGAGAAAUGUUCAAGAGGUACAGCAAAGUGGCUAACACAGGUUAUAUGCUCCAGCUCUUAGUAAUACCCAUUUAUCCUAAAAAUAUCAAGGUUAAUAUACAAUAUGUAAUACAUCAAGUGGCUACCUCUGAGUGUUGAAGUUUGGGCUAUUUUGUUAAAAUUCUUUUGGCUAAUCUACAGUUUAAAAACUUUUUACAGGGAACAAUAUUUAAUGUAUUCAUAAAUACUAAUAGAACUUUGGGUUUAUAAACCCUUUUGGAGAAGUUUUUCCUGAACAAAGAUUUCCAAGUAUUUUAGAGAUAUCCAAAGAAUGGGUGGGCCAUCGGGGGAUUUCCAAACAGAACAGAAGAGCAAGAGCAAAUGUAUAGAAGUGGGGACUGUUAGGACUAUUUUUACAUCUAUGUCUAUGUGUAGGAAAUAUGGGUUCAAUGUGGCUGUAACAUGAAGCCUGUGUAGGAGAUCAGUGGAGGUGAGUGUGGGUCCUGGGCUGGUGGUUACCUUGCAGCACCCUGAAUACCAGGUUUAAGAUUGGGUGUGAGUUCUGCAGAUUAUGAAAGACCUAAUCUAGUGGUUGAAAUGCUUUGCUAAAAGUAACACUUUAAAUGUAUGGUAGAGAAUUAAGUGAGGUCUAUGCUAAAGAGGUUGCUCUUUGAUAUGGGAAGUGUUGGGAAAAGGUGGGAAAAGACAGCAGAUUCCCACCCUGCUGCUUCUGGGUAGUGACACACUAUCACCAUCUAGUGGUCAUACAGACAAAUUGUAGGGCUAGUGGGCAUGGAGCCCUGGUUGUAGAGAAACUUCCACCAAAGCCAAAAACUCCUAGUAACAUCAUCUAUAGCUCUAAAAACAUCUAGACCUUUAUAAAUAUCUGGAUAAAGAGUCACCUAUUUCUUGUUAACUUGUGCAUCUUUAAUGAUGUAGACAUUGUUUCUUACUCAAACGCAACAGAGAGAGAAAGAACAUUUAUAUUCUCUGAAUAUACAACUAUCUGGGUUCAGCUGGAAGCUGAGAGUACUCAGUAGCUUUGAGACCUGUAAUGAAGGGGAAAAAACUUUCUUACUUCCUACCAGGUUGGCAUUUAAGAGAUUUAACUGCUGAGCACUAGACAAGCGAUGAUUUUUACAGAAGUCCUCAUUUCAGCUGAUUCCACUGCCUGAUUAGAUGUCGUUACAAGGCCCGGAUUUUGAACAGAAGAGCUGGGGAUGUAAGCCGAUUCUGUGAUUUUUUUGUGUCACUGCAGCCAAUUUGAGACAUCUUCUGGCAACUUGACUUUCUCAUUCUGUGUUGUAAUUGUGGGGAGGCCUGGGCUUAAGUAAGUGUAGCUGGGCUCAGAUAAUUGUUGUUGGUAAGGGGGUUGAGGGGGUGAGGAUGGGAAGGGUAAAUCUAAUCGUGGAGACAGCAAGGGAAAGAGCCUUUUACCACGUUAGCUUUUGGCAGGCAAAGUAGCUGUGGAAAAACGUGUCCGAGGAGCCAUCCUCUCUGUGGUGGGACAGGCACUGUGCUAGGAGUCCUGAGCGCUGGCCCUGGCCCUUUCCUCCAGGAGAUUCGAAGGGCAGGGGGAGGGGAAUUACUCUGGAAUUCCAAGUUGUGUCUCAUUCAUCUGUUGUCUCUGAGUCCAACCUUGGGCUCAGUCGAGGUUCUGCCUCUUAGGUCUCUGUGACCUUGGGUAAGUUACUUAACCUUUCUGGGCUUCACAUGAUUUUUACCUGUAAAUUGAAAAUCUAUAAACUAUACAGAGGGUAGUUGUGGCGAUUAAGUGAGAUAUCGACAAGUGCUGUGUUAAGGUGCAGAUAUUUUGAAUUUUUGUAAAGCUAGCCUAUGAGUUUAACAUUUCUCUCUGCCUGAACAAUUAAGAAUGGGUUGAUGUUCUCAGCUUUCACGUUCAGGAGGGGAUGUAGCUUUCUUUUCUUUCAUUUUCAUGAAUCCCCUGUUGCCCCAAGCCUUAUUUAUUUUUUCCAUUUUCAGGGAUCAGCACCGUCUGGCUCAGUGAUCCACAGGACCCUAGGGUUCUCCAAUCCUGAGGGGUUGGCGGGACCCCAGCCCCCAACUCUGCUCUAGUGAGGCAGCCUGCUUUCAUUCUGUUUUACAUAUUGGAGUUUAGAAUGGGAUUUACUUUGGUUAAAGGCUCCUGAGCAAAAAAGAGAGAGUUUGAAAAUACCAAACAUUGGCCUUGGUGUAGGAUAAAGACAUUGGGUCAAAAGAAAGAAUGAGGUACAAGACUAGACUCUGGUGAGGCAUAAAAUGCUCUGGAAAUAAAGAGCGGAUUGAGAUGCGCAUAGCCACUUGUGAAUUGGUGAGAAGAUAGGUCUAUAAUUUCAGCAAGAAAUAACCCUAAAGGAUGACAGAGUUGCAUCCACAAUCAUUUUUUUUUUAACUGGUGACGGUUUCCUAACCAGAAGCUUGUGGAAAACUGACUUCUGUCGCUGGGUGCUUGACAUGGUGUUGACGCGGGGGUGCUGCUCCCCAGGCAGAAGCAGCAGGAAGGUGGGAAGAAUGAAACUGUGUUCACUCUUGUAGCUGUUUCUUCCGUGGGGUUUGUGCAGAGGGCCUGGGGAGAGACACAGGACGCCUGUCUGUCAACAGGUGCUGGGCGGGGCAUGUGAAGCGCUGCCCAGUGGGGUCUGGAGUGCAGGGAAGCUUAGGGCAGGGCUCCAACUCUGUCUUUGCAAAGAGUCUCUGCUCGAAAAUAAAUGGCACAGUAUUCCUUAGUAUUGAGGGGCACUCAGAAUUUUGUGGUGUUGGCUUUGGAAAAUAGUCUGUAAUUUCCUUUGACAACCUUCUUUUUUUCUGUUACACCUCUGUACCUCUCUUUUAGUUUUUCAGAAAUCAGUCUUCCAGCUUCUGGAUCUCUGUUCUUAGCAGGAACCCUCCAUAGACUCUGCAGACUGAUACAGAGAAGGGUGUUAAUUUAGACCUUACUGAUGCAGAAUUUGUGAUAAUCGUGUCAGAGGUAGAGUGUAAGUAUAACUAGCUCUGCUCGGGAGGAAAGGGCUCUCCAGAGCAAGUUCAAGGGAACAAGGUGCUUGUAGUAUUGAAGAGCAUGCAAAAGGAUGUUCUAAUUACAAAUCCUUCUUGCCUUUUCAUUAAAGUAGGACCUCUGCAGGGCCAGGUUGUGUUAUGUAGGUCUGAAGUGCUCCUCUUGAUAAAAGAACAACACCUGAUUGUUUAGGAAAAAGAAAAUGUUUUGUCAUUUAUUCUGCUGGCCCUCAACCCCCAUGUUCUCUGACCAGUCUGAAGGAGAGGGGCUGAACACCUAGCCUCGCCAGCAAAUGCUGGCUGUGCUGGGGUCCAAGACUGCAGAGAGACAACAUGUGGGAAACAGUUUUAAAGUGAUGAUGAAACCUUAUAUUCAAAGUCAGAAAAAGCACAUGUUAGUGCAUAAUUAAGAAUGCAGUCUCUACAUGUUGUUGAUCUGUGGCAGGUCACUGAGCUGUCUGGCUACACACUGGCUAUUCCAGUGAUACAGGAACCUCCUCUCCCUUGAGCAAUGACAUCUCCAAUCACCAGAGCUUGUCCUCUUUCUUUUAAAAAUUUUUUUAUUUAUUUUUGGUACAGAUGCAUUUAAAUGAUAUAGCAGUUUAUUGAGCCCAGCCUCUACUCCUAUUGAUUUGGACCAAGUUUGUCGGUGUUGCCUUGGGCAAGUCAUUGUAUUUCCUGGAAGACUCCGUUUCUCCAUGUGAUUCACGGGAGGGAACAGCCCCUUUUCGGGAAGGAGCUCAGCACUGACUUGAUUCUGCACAGAUAUUCACAGGUGCCCUGUCACAUCAUGACACUGGUGGCCAGACUUUGACUAAUCCUGACCAAGUGCACACACACAUACACACACAUAAAUGGAGAAAUAGAUAACUGAAAAUGGACAGUAGAUUUUUUUUUAAAACCCCACUGAAAUCAAUGAAGGGAAGUCAUGGUGUAUAAUUACAUUAAAUGUGUUGCUUUGGCUACUUGCAGCUGUAGGCAUUGACUGUCAUUCAUUGACUUACAUCCAACUUAUAUUGGGUCUGUGUAUCUUAUGAGCUAUUCUUCUGGGUACAGUGAGUGACAGAUUGGAAGACCCAUUCUGUCCCUAUUAAAUGGAGCAUAAGACAAUUCUGUGUUCUGCCACAUUCCUCAGUAAUUGUGGGCCUGUGUCUGGUGCUGUGUUGAAGAAUUGCAGUGGGGACUUCAGUACCUGGAAACUGGUAACAGAAAACCCAGCUAUGAACUAGCUGAAGUAGCUUGUAUACAGCUCACUGGAGGACCAGACUGUGUGUCUGCAGACCCUGUUGAUGGCCUCAGCUCUUUCACUAAGUGUGGGACCAUAGAUAAGACACUUAAUCUUCGUCUUGGACCUUGGGUUUUCUAGCCAUAAAAAGAGGCAGCUGGUCUAGGUGAGCCUGCUCUUGAAUUCUAUUAAUUUGCAGAAAUGAUUUUGAAAUGUCAGGGCUGAAAGAGAGUCAUGGCUUGCUUCUACCUUGCCCCUGUGUUACUCAGAGUUGGUGGAUUUCCUCACCAAGACCGCUCCAGCUGAGCCUAGUGUGGAAACUUCUGGACCGUUCGCACCAGAAAUGGCCCGAGUGGCAGCAUCUCCUUUGUGAACCAUCUAGCCCUGUGGCUGGUCUCCUGUGUCGCCUGAUAGGCUUUUGCCAGGACUGGGUUCUGCAAAAACACACACGUAACCAAGGUGUUUCUUCUUUUGCUUUUUACAAGUUUUCAGUUAGUGCUAUAGGAAGAGCAAAAUUAGCUGUUAGAAGCCUUUACCAACGUAACUACCUAGAACUGAGGACUGGUCUGUGUGGUCUUGAAACACAGCCGAGGACCCAGGGCACCUGUACGUGGGCCCGUACAACAGAGGAAGGGCACACGUGACCUUUCAGAGCAAAUUAACAGCAGGCUGUGGAAGCCUAGCAUUACUGUGCUGUGAAGUGUUUUUUAAAGCCAUCUUUAAUUUCUUUCUGACUACAGACAAUGUAUAUGCUCAUUUUGGAGGAGAAAGCAACAAUAAAAUAUCCUAGACAGGACCAAUUUUACAUAUUCGUGCAUACAUAUAAAUACAUUUCUAUCUAUUUACAUUCUGGCUUUUGCACCAAACAUGACAGCUGAUACAUUUCUCUUAUGAUUAAAAAUAGUUCAAAAACAUGAUUUUCAGUGGUCGCAUAGAAAAUCCACAAUGGUUGUGGCACAUUUGAGCUGUUGCCACGGCAUAUCACUGUACUUUUGUUUGGACCUCACAAGUUGUUUUCCGUUGCUGUUGUUUCUGAAGUGGCCUUUGUAGGUGGAAAGACAAAUAUAUAACACAUUUGAAGUUCAUAUUCACUGUGAGAAGAAAUUGCAUGUAAUUAGCAUAUUUUAAUUUUCCAUUAUAGCCACAAUCUAGGAUGCUUAAUAUUUAAAGAUGCAAAUAAUACAUAAGGAUUUCUUUUGGAGAUUCUAUUUUUGUCCUUAUGUGUGACCAAAUCCAGUAAUAGAGAUAAAAACAGUGAAAACAAUAAAACAUUAAGAAGAGAGAGGAAGGGAUGAAAACUGACGGUUAUGGAACCCACACUGUAUGGAUGCAUGUACAUCACCUCAUUAAGGUCUCACUGCCAGUUGGUGAAAUAAAUGUGACUUAUCCUUAUUUCACAGAAGACAAAACUAAGCUCAGAGAGGUUUUGCACUCACCCAGGUUGAUGUGUCUGGGAAAAGGCAGAGCCAGCAUUUGAACCCAAAUCCAAAAUAUAACUUCCAUCUGUAUCACAUCAGGCUGCCCAAGUACAAUUCAACUCUGGCUCAAGGUCAUUGCUUCCUGCUUCCUUCCCCUACCCACUCUAAAUCUGUAGGAAAAAAAUCAGGAAGAAAACCCCUGUUCUUUGGCAUUUCCUGUUCCUUGAAACCACUUGUGGGGACCUGGGAGAGUGGAGUUCAUAUGGCAUCCAUGGUCCCUCAGUCCGCCAUGUGCUUCUUUCCUACUGCUUCAGAACACCCAGCUCUUCCCAGCUUCACAGAUGAGACUUCUGAGUAAGAAACUGCCCCCACGUUUGCAGCCCCACGCCCUCCCACAGCAUAGCAGAAUUCAUGCCCUGGUCUCUCACAGUGAUGCAAGUGGCUUUUCAUAGGAAGUUUGGUCAAAGCAGAUCUGUGCUCACCCAGUGCACAGUGGAAUUGUGCACGGUGAAAUUGGUACAUGCCCCUCAAUGUCCUCCUCAGAUUUCCAAUGGAAAUAUUCAUUUCUGGAACAAUUAUUGUAUUGUUUGGGCUCCAGUGAAAAAAGUGAUUUUCUUUGUAACUGACUCUGCAUUGUGACUUUCAUGUUUUCAUUGAUGAAGACAGUUCUCUUCAUAACCCCCUCAGAGUUCCCACCCAGAGGGUUCUCUUUUCUGUGAUCUAUUAUGAUAGCUCUGAAGCGCCCUGCAGCCCUGAAAUUCUCCACUUGUCACCAUGUUUCUUAUCACCUCUGCGACCUGUGCACUCAUCCACUCAUUCAGCAAGCAGCUACCAAGUGCCAGCUACAGACCAAGCAUGAGGCUGUAUUGCAUUCUCACCCAUGUCCCUUCUCAGGAUUGGUCGAAUGCUAUUUUGCAAGGGAGUUUCACAUUUAUUUGAAGUAAUAAUAUGAAUUAACUUAUUUACUGAAUAUUAAAGCUCAAUAAUAAGAUACUCUUGUGUGAAAUGUGGUUCAACAUUAAAACAAUGCUGUGAAAAAAUAUGAAAUGUAACGCGAACUUGUAAAUUAUAAAAAAAGUUCUCUUUCUCACCUCAGUUACUUUGCAUAUGGUACCUUAGGCUAAAGAUCUCACAAGCUAAUGUCUAUAAAUGUGGAACAGCUUUUACUAGCAUCGGUGACUGGAGGCAGAUUCUUGUUGCUUUGCUACUAUUUCCUGUUUGUUUUUAACUAGGUCUUAUUCGUUCUUGGAUGACUGGUCCCUGUCAGUGCCAUGAGAGCUUGUGCGGUAUGUUGCUUUAAGUUGGUACACCACGUUCCCAUCUUUUUAAAAUUCUUCCCAGCAAACUUGUGAUGUAGGGAUGCACUGGUGUUCCCAUUCUGUGGACGAGGAAACUGACGUCAUGCAGCUGCUGAUUGCAGAGAAGGGGCUGGAAGGAAUCAUUUUUUAUCUCAGUCUACUGGACGACAGCUUGAUUUUUCAGAAUUAUGUGGGUCAUUUGGUGUACCUGUCUUCAGAUCCUCACAAAAUGAAACUUUUUCAGUGAACAUACAUAUUCCUACUUGAACAAACAAAUGCUUUUCAUUCACAGUAGAAAACUGAACCUCACGAAAUGAAUUCGGUCUCUCUCUAUGGACAGCUGCCCAAACUGGGAAAGCAUACACAAGGUACACUUCGCUGCCACUGCACAUUCCCAAUGCAGUGUGAUCGGCGCGAAGGCACAUUAGUACCCUCAGUCAAUACGUCGCCCAAAUGUAUAAAGGCAAUACAAUGUGGUAUUUUGGAACAUGAUGUUAGGUUUCCUGAUUGGAAAUGUUCUUGAACUAAAAUAUCCUCCGUGAAAAGCUUUUUUGUGGUUAUAAAAAAAGAUCAGCAUCUCACAGGUUACCCGAUUUGCUAAUUACUUAGAAUUCAGAUCAGGUAUUUGUGAUGAAAUUAGCAUGCAAUAACCAUCAGCUUUUGACAAGGGCUCCUGAUGGAAGAAAGGGGUGGCUGUAGAUGAUAAAGGGAUAAGAAAAAAAGGAAGUCGAUUUUCAUGGGUAAAUUUUAUCACCUGGGUUAGAUGACGGUUUAAUGUCUUAAUGAUGUUCAGCAAGAGCAGAUGGAUAAAUAGGAGAAGCAGAGUCACUUUAUGAGAAGUGUCUCAAAUGGUGUGACUUUUCCUUUAGAAAGGCUAAUAACUGGAACUCUCAGUGUGGGCUGUUACCCCUUGCAUUCUGUGUAGGAGGACCGACAAGAGCUGGUUAUUUUCCAAUUAACAAAGGGUAGAAGGUGGUUCUUAAUAUAUUUACUUAGAGGCCCUGCUUUAUUUCUAUCUAUUUAUAUAUGUCUCUGCCUAUUUAUUUAUAUAUAAAAUCCUCCAUGCUUGCAAUUUACUGAAGUCUAAUCUUAAAUGACUGAGGCUGACUCUGAGAAAAGACCCUACUACAUUUGGGUCAUGCCCUUCCCUUAGUGUCCUAUGUCCUUGGCUUAAGAUGCUGAUACAAAUGUGAAUGCAGUAUGAACAAUGUCCUUUUAUCUUGUGACCCUCCCUGCCCCCCUCCUCUGCCUCUGUCCUUUAAAGGCCAUAGACUAUGCUUCGGAAUGACUCACCCUAAAAAGGAAUGGAGCUUUUCUAACUCUCGAGUCUUUCAUCAAAUAUUGUUUCAGCCGAUGUAACAGCUCCUGCAGCCAUCCAAGACUGAGAGCUGUUUCUUAGCUUCUCUGGGUCCAUAUCACCAUAUUUGUACACUGGGGGCAAUAACGGUACCUACCUGAAAGGACUGGGUGAGGAGUAAGUAAGUGUAUAUUUGUAAAGCACUAGAAAAGUGGUUACACACAGCAAGGCUCAAAAAGUGUUCAUUCAAUAAAGGCGAAGAUCGACUGCUCUCAUGGAAGUAAUGAGCUACCUAGCCAUUUAGACAUAGAGGGGGUCAAAAUAUUGUGCCUGUGAGCAGUAGUAGCUACUCUGGAGAAAGAAUGGAAGGUGAAUAUCCACUUGAUGCUGAAGAUGGCCCAUCUCCCACCAGUUGUAGAAAGUUGAGAAUCCAGGACUUGCAAAAAACAUCCUGGCUGAUGUCCAGAAGAGAUGACCUUUCUGUGAAGGAGAAUGUCAGACCUUCCUUUAAGCCAAGUCAGAGCGGCACGUAUUUCCCCGCUGCCUGGAGCAGUGGAAAACUCCAUGCUGUCCCUUCAGGCACUCUGGAGAUCACAUCUGUCAGGAUGGAAUCGUUCAUCCCACACUCUGUGGACAAGGGCUUGGCCUCGGAGCCCGACAUGUGAUCCAUGCUCGUUUGGGGCAGUGGUCACGGCGAACUCUUUUGGAAGGGAAUUUGGUGAGUAUUCCUACGAGUCAGUGUGCAGCUGGGGUUGGGCUUUGGCAUGUCCUCCCAUGUGUUGGACUGUGGCCCUCAUGCUCUCCAGGGGCUCGGAUUUGGCUCCAGCCAGGGAGCACACGCAGGCCUCCGAGGCCCAGCGCUGUUGCUCUCUGCAGCUUCACGGACUGUGGAAUUUUACUGAUAUGGGUCUGAGCCACGGGGAGAUGUGCCUCAGUGCUGCUUUCGUUUCACCCAGGCAUUCUUCUGUACCUGCACUUUCCCAUCCAUUUAUUCAAUGGUCACCCUGUAAUGGAUAGUGGCCUGCUGUGUGUCUAUCCCUAAAUGCGCUUAGUAGGGCAGAUGUACAUAAAGUUAAUGACAAGAUUUUUUUUUUCUUUAUUUCAUUUGGUUAUUUCUAGUUCCUUUCACAGUGCCUAGCACUUGGGAGGUGUCCCUUAAAUUCUGGCUGUUUGAGAACAAUGGGAUAAUUGUUACAAUAAAGCAAGAUACAAGGUGCUAUGGGAACCAAAUGUAUGGCACUUGUGUAGCACAGAUACCUAGUUUUGUCCAGUGUUUUUAACUUUACAGUUUGGUUUUAUAUUUACUCUAUCACUUUGUUUUUGCAGAUAACUUUUAAAAAUGGAAGUGUAUUUUUCUCCUUUUCUUGAUGGAUUAAGUACAGAGGAGUUAACCCAACUCCCCAGCAUCACACAGCUCUUUGGUCACCAGGCCCAUCAUGGAACCGCCUCCAAGGUGGAGUUCCUUUUCACGUUCAUGCAUCGCUUACACCAUGCCGCAAGGGCUCCUUUUCCCCCGAGAGGUGGUGAAACCCAGUGCUCCAGGUGAUGCACUAUACUCCCAUUUUGCCAAAGUGCUUGGUUUUUGGUCAUUUAUUUAUCCAACAAACCUAUGCUGCAUACCUCCCAUGUGCCAGGCACUGACUACAGUGUUCUGUUUACGACUUACUGCAUGUGCCCUCUGGGGUUGGUUGGUUUGCUUUCCUGAAGCUUGGAAAAGGAUCAGUUAUGUUCUCCCUUGAAAGUGUGUCCCUGGGUCGUUUGGAAGGGAUGGGUGUUCUGACAGCCCCCAGGUUCUUCUAUACAAGCAUCUCUCACUGUUGGUUACAAAAGGUAGAUGGCGCUGAGCUGAAUCUGCCCAGGUUGCAUUUUACAUUCUGGAAAAUUCUUUAAAAAAGCAAAGCCUUAAUAUGGGCCAGGACUAAGUCCUAGAAGUGUAGUCCUGAGCACGUUUAUUAACCUCUUGUCAACUUAGCUUUAAUAUCAUCUGUGAAAGAGAGGGGUCUGGAGACCCAGUCAGUUCCUGAGGGUCUUUCUACGCAGUGCCAACCACUGGCUGUGUUUCAGGGCCCUAAUCUAAGUGACUGCUCUUCGAAUGCCAUAGUUACCAACACUGUCCUCCUUCCCAAACAGCCCCGACCUCCUAGGGUCUCAGGCUUCCUGUUUGCUUUUCACUCCCACAGAUUCCUGCUGGGCUGUUCUCUGGCGCCAUCUCUCCCUGUCUCUGGGGAAGAUAAUAGAGAGGAGCUGAGAAGACUGCAUGGAGCUGCCUCUUCCAUGAGCUAUUUUAUGACUCAUGUACUGUAGGGGGUGCUGGCCUGCGGGGGGUGUGGGGAGAAGGGAAACUUCCCUUUGUUUCUUCCUUUCCACUUAGAAGAAACAACUCAAGGAUCCCACUACCUCCAGCAGCUGCCUCUUCCACACAGGGUGUUUGCAAAAAUUUCGAAACAAACUCUGGAAUCCUAAAAAGGGUAACAGGAACAGAUUUUUAAAUAUCUUAAUUCAUCUCUUCUGACUAUUUCCCACCUUGUCUUACCCUCUUUUCCUUUGCUUUAUUUUCCUAAAACAAACAAACAAAAAAAGUGACAGGCAGCUGGCUUUUCACCCAGUAAAAAAUAGGAACAUCUCUUUGGCUUUGCAGCAGCUCAUGAGAUUUCUCUUCAGAAGUUUCAGAGAAUUUCAUCCAGAAAAGACUUGGGUGAGGAGGGUAAAUGUUUGCAGCUGGAUUAACACUGCCCAUUGGGUUCUAAAGCAUCAAUGGCAUCUUUCUCUGUAUAAUCCCAUCCUGCAGGAUGCAGAGCCCAAAGGCACUCCUGCCUUGGCUCAAUGACAACGCUGGGGUCUCCCUUCACCUUGAGUGUGGGGAGGAGAAAGAGCCACUGUUGUGAGGUGCCUGAAUCCUGGGCCCGGCGCCCAGUGAUUCACCACAUUCUCUGCAUCUAAACACAUCAUCAGCUUUGUCAAGUUUCUGCUGUGGUUGGAUAAUUAAUGUUAUUGGAGGACACAGUGAAUUUUUUCCUCUCACAGCUGAAGAUGAGACAGAAUUUCUCAGGCAUCACACACAAGUGUACUUUGCUUAAUCUUUCCCAUUUGAAUGAUCUCCAUUGCCUAAUAGAGCCCUGAGAACUCCUCCAAAGAUCUUUCCAUGCCUGAGGCCACAGCUCCCCAAACACCCAGCAUCCGUUUGAGGAGGGAAUACAAAGCAAGUCUUCUAGCUUUACUUUUCAACUUUUCUUUCUCAUUCUCUUUUUCCUUCAUAAUAUGGAAACACUUUUGGUGCCUUCUCUUGAUUUGGAUUUGGCAGUGUUUCAGGUUCACAUGCCUAGAGAAAUAUUCCUUCUAACAUCUUAGUCCAGGAAAGUGAUGGUGUCGCAUGAUUGCUGAGCCCACAGAUCGCCUUGCUCAGGUGACGCCCUCUUCAUAAUGCGAGAAGCAGAACCAUCGUUCUUCCAUUUGUUAGCUCAUAUUCCACUCUUGAAUCAGCUGAAGGUCUUGACAUGUAUUUUCUGACAUCAUACAUGGCAGACAUAACCAAUGACAUUUCCACAGAGGACACGUGCCCACAUGGAGGCAUAGACGUAAUGGGUGUCCUCGCUCUGACCUCCACUUUCUUUCCCGUUUGAGGAAGCAUGCCGAAUGGGGGGCUGUGAGAGGGGCUUUACUAUGUGAUAACUUUCCAUCCCUCUACUUUAUGUAGGAGACUGUAAUCACUUGGAAACUAGAAUUUGUACUCUUCUUAGCCACAAAUGGCUCAUCACGCAUCUGGAAUGGCGGGUCAUCUAGAGUCACUGAGAACCACUUCUUUCCAUGCCAGAGAUUUUUCUGUGGACCACUUGCCCAGAAGUUUGAUCAGAAGUGGAGUGCUGUGGCUCACAGUUUCUUACUAGUUGUGUUUUUCACCUUGAAAACAAGGGCAUGAGAAAGUUUACAGGGCUGAGAGUCAGGGUGACCUGCUUGGUAUAUUAACAGUUGACAGGUGGCCCCAGGGAAGUCUGGUACGUACGUUUUGAAUCAGUUUAUCUGUGGGUCCUUCCUAUGUUGCCCUUCCCUUUUGUGUCUCUUCCCAUCUCGUCAAUAGGAUAUGCUAAGAAUGUUGUUCAAAGAGUGAAGCAGUUUUGUUAGUGGGGAGCAGUAUCUUCAAAAAUGAGCUGUGGGCUUUGGGGAGGUGAACUGUUGAAGUGGGCAUGAGAAAGGGGUAAGUUAAAGUCUUAGUGUUAACACGCGAGGGACAGAUGGAGAGAGUUUGGUUAGGACUGGUGGGCUAUAAGCUUCUGACCCACCGAUCAAGCAGAGCCACCUGCUUUGGUCAAUAAGCUGUGUGAACCCACUGCAGGCUAGAUGUCCAUGGGACCAGAAGUGGCUUGGCCCUGCAGAAUCUGCUCACUGUGAGAGACAAACGCUAGCUGGCAUGAGUGAUAAUGGCCAAGUCCCUCUGUAGCCUGGGCCUCCAUGUCAUUGUGAGUCCUUGCAGAACACUUUGCUCCUGAGGGUUCUGAGCAAUUGAGGAGGGAACCCAUGCAUGAAACCCACAGUCCAGAAUGCACAAGGUCAUUACUGAUGCAUGUAGCUAUAGAGAAGAGUCAUGGUGCUUUAGAGCCGGAAGAAAAUUCAGAGCGUGUCAUGCCCGAAUCCCCUCAUGCAAAUCAAUUAACAAAAAUUAUAUAGCCAAACAUUCACAUUGAUGCCCUGUAAUUAGUAACUGGAGUUUGAGGUGCUCAACAAGGUAAUAAAGCCCAUUAGCAGCCGUCAGACCCGUGGAGUCUCUUUGGCACAGCCAGUGGGUUAGCAGCUGCUUGCUGGAUGAAGUGGUUGAAAGCAAGAAAA